UAGGCCUUGAGAUUUGUCACUGUGCUCA
rnacentral:piRNA from 1 species